UCCUACGGGAGGCAGCAGUGGGGAAUAUUGCGCAAUGGCCGCAAGGCUGACGCAGCGACGCCGCGUGGGGGAUGAAGC
rnacentral:rRNA from 1 species